rnacentral:rRNA from 1 species
UUAGAGUUUGAUCCUGGCUCAGGAUGAACGCUGGCGGUAUGCUUAACACAUGCAAGUCGGACGGACACCUUCGGGUGUCAGUGGCGGACGGGUGAGUAACACGUAGGAAUCUACCCUCAGGCGGGGGAUAACAGCUGGAAACGGCUGCUAAUACCCCAUACAGGCGGAAGCUGAAAGGAGCAAUCCACCUGAGGAUGAGCCUGCGUCGGAUUAGCUAGUUGGUGGGGUAACGGCCUACCAAGGCGACGAUCCGUAGCGGGUCUGAGAGGAUGGCCCGCCACACUGGGACUGAGACACGGCCCAGACUCCUACGGGAGGCAGCAGUGGGGAAUUUUCCGCAAUGGGCGCAAGCCUGACGGAGCAAUACCGCGUGAGGGAGGAAGGCCCUUGGGUUGUAAACCUCUUUUCUGGGGGACGAAAGCUGACGGUACCCCAGGAAUAAGCCUCGGCUAACUCCGUGCCAGCAGCCGCGGUAUGACGGAGGAGGCAAGCGUUAUCCGGAAUCAUUGGGCGUAAAGGGUACGUAGGCGGCUGGUCAAGUCUGGGGUCAAAGGCCACAGCUCAACUGUGGGAAGGGCCCUGGAAACUGACCGGCUAGAGUGAGGUAGGGGUUGCGGGAAUUCCCGGUGUAGCGGUGAAAUGCGUAGAGAUCGGGAAGAACACCUGAGCGGAAGCGCGCAACUGGCCUCAACUGACGCUGAGGUACGAAGCUAGGGGAGCGAAUGGGAU